UGGGGAAUUUUGGACAAUGGGCGAAAGCCUGAUCCAGCAAUGCCGCGUGUGUGAAGAAGGCCUUCGGGUUGUAAAGCACUUUUGUCCGGAAAGAAAUCCUUGGCUCUAAUACAGUCGGGGGAUGACGGUACCGGAAGAAUAAGCACCGGCUAACUACGUGCCAGCAGCCGCGGUAAUACGUAGGGUGCAAGCGUUAAUCGGAAUUACUGGGCGUAAAGCGUGCGCAGGCGGUUUGCUAAGACCGAUGUGAAAUCCCCGGGCUCAACCUGGGAACUGCAUUGGUGACUGGCAGGCUAGAGUAUGGCAGAGGGGGGUAGAAUUCCACGUGUAGCAGUGAAAUGCGUAGAGAUGUGGAGGAAUACCGAUGGCGAAGGCAGCCCCCCUGGGCCAAUACUGACGCUCAUGCACGAAAGCGUGGGGAGCAAAACAGGAUUAGAUACCCUGGUAGUCCACGCCCUAAACGAUGUCAACUAGUUGUUGGGGAUUCAUUUCCUUAGUAACGUAGCUAACGCGUGAAGUUGACCGCCUGGGGAGUACGGUCGCAAGAUUAAAACUCAAGGAAUUGACGGGGUCAUAGCUG
rnacentral:rRNA from 1 species